rnacentral:rRNA from 1 species
UACGUAGGGGGCAAGCGUUAUCCGGAUUUACUGGGUGUAAAGGGAGCGUAGGUGGCAAGGCAAGUCAGAUGUGAAAACCCGGGGCCCAACCCCGGGAGUGCAUUUGAAACUGUCUGGCUAGAGUGCAGGAGAGGUAAGUGGAAUUCCUAGUGUAGCGGUGAAAUGCGUAGAUAUUAGGAGGAACACCAGUGGCGAAGGCGGUCUGCUGGACAGCAACUGACGCUGAGGCGCGAAAGCGUGGGGAGCAAACAGG